AGGUAAGCUACUAAGAGCGAAUGGUGGAUGCCUUGACUGGUAAAGGCGAUGAAGGACGUACUAGACUGCGAUAAGCUACGGGGAGCUGUCAAGAAGCUUUGAUCCGUAGAUUUCCGAAUGGGGCAACCCAAUGUAUAGAGAUAUGCAUUACCUAUAUAGGAGCGAACGAGGGGAAUUGAAACAUCUUAGUACCCUCAGGAAAAGAAAUCAAUAGAGAUUGCGUCAGUAGCGGCGAGCGAAAGCGCAAGAGGGCAAACCCAGUGCUUGCACUGGGGGUUGUAGGACUGCAAUGUGCAAGAGCUGAGUUUAGCAGAACAUUCUGGAAAGUAUAGCCAUAGAGGGUGAUAGUCCCGUAUGCGAAAAACAAAGCUUAGCUAGCAGUAUCCUGAGUAGGGCGGGACACGAGGAAUCCUGUCUGAAUCCGGGUCGACCACGAUCCAACCCUAAAUACUAAUACCAGAUCGAUAGUGCACAAGUACCGUGAGGGAAAGGUGAAAAGAACUGAGGUGAUCAGAGUGAAAUAGAACCUGAAACCAUUUGCUUACAAUCAUUCAGAGCACUAUGUAGCAAUACAGUGUGAUGGACUGCCUUUUGCAUAAUGAGCCUGCGAGUUGUGGUGUCUGGCAAGGUUAAGCAAACGCGAAGCCGUAGCGAAAGCGAGUCUGAAUAGGGCGCUUAGUCAGAUGCUGCAGACCCGAAACGAAGUGAUCUAUCCAUGAGCAAGUUGAAGCUAGUGUAAGAACUAGUGGAGGACUGAACCCAUAGGCGUUGAAAAGCCCCGGGAUGACUUGUGGAUAGGGGUGAAAGGCCAAUCAAACUUCGUGAUAGCUGGUUCUCUCCGAAAUAUAUUUAGGUAUAGCGUUGUGUCGUAAUAUAAGGGGGUAGAGCACUGAAUGGGCUAGGGCAUACACCAAUGUACCAAACCCUAUCAAACUUCGAAUACCUUAUAUGUAAUCACAGCAGUCAGGCGGCGAGUGAUAAAAUCCGUCGUCAAGAGGGAAACAACCCAGACUACCAGCUAAGGUCCCUAAAUCUUACUUAAGUGGAAAACGAUGUGAAGUUACUUAAACAACCAGGAGGUUGGCUUAGAAGCAGCCAUCCUUUAAAGAAAGCGUAAUAGCUCACUGGUCUAGUGAUUUUGCGCGGAAAAUAUAACGGGGCUAAAGUAAGUACCGAAGCUGUAGACUUAGUUUACUAAGUGGUAGGAGAGCGUUCUAUUUGCGUCGAAGGUAUACCGGUAAGGAGUGCUGGAGCGAAUAGAAGUGAGCAUGCAGGCAUGAGUAGCGAUAAUUAAUGUGAGAAUCAUUAACGCCGUAAACCCAAGGUUUCCUACGCGAUGCUCGUCAUCGUAGGGUUAGUCGGGUCCUAAGUCGAGUCCGAAAGGGGUAGACGAUGGCAAAUUGGUUAAUAUUCCAAUACCAACAUUAGUGUGCGAUGGAAGGACGCUUAGGGCUAAGGGGGCUAGCGGAUGGAAGUGCUAGUCUAAGGUCGUAGGAGGUUGUACAGGCAAAUCCGUAUAACAAUACUCCGAGAACUGAAAGGCUUUUUGAAGUCUUCGGAUGGAUAGAAGAACCCCUGAUGC
rnacentral:rRNA from 1 species